ensembl:snoRNA SNORA9 small nucleolar RNA SNORA9
UUGCAAGCCUCCAGCGUGCUUGGGCCUGAAGUGGCCCUGUGCAUUCCUACAGUGCUUGCAAGAGCAGUUUUGAAACGGUUUGAGGCCUUGCUCUGCAUAUCUACAGAGCAAGGUUAUAGAAAUUUCAGACAGUU